UUUGGAGAAAAUACUGGGUUUUCCAGCCCUUGUGGCACAGUGAAACCUGUGAAACCUCAUGGGCAGAAGCAAGGCUGCAGCCUGCAGUGACAGUGCUGAUUCUCACCCUUCCUACUGCAGCAGCCAUGCCCUUUGUCCCCAGCAACUCCCAGCAGCGAGGGACAGGGCUGCACCACACAAAGCACAGCCAAAGUGCGUAAGGUGGGAACGGCAACACGCAGCUCUGGUGGAAACUUAGACUGUACUCUACCCAAAAUGCUUGGCACAAGCUGUCUGGAGUGGGCCCGCAUCAAAUCGUGAAAAGAGAUAAUCAGCACACAAAUUUCAUUGAAAUCUGAGAAGCGAGAUUGUUCGACUUCGUUUGAACCUGAAGACACCUGCAGCUCAGUCUCAGGUUAAUGAGCCCCUCUCUGACAAACUGAGUGGCUUGAAGCCCUUCUUUGGACAAGAAAUCAGGAAGAGGUAAUUUAAAAGACCCUGAAGAUGCAGCAGGUGGGAUCAAGAGUGGUGAUAUCCAGAACCCAGGCUGGGUAAGCAGCUCUGUUUGAUUACCAGGCACUUCAAACAAGGCUAUUCCACCUGAACAACAUCACAUUUCCUACUACAUUCUGUUACUUCUUCUCAGAGGCAAUAAAAUGCCCCAUUUUUGAAUAUGAGAAUAAGGGCAAGUCCUUCUGUAUUUGGAAUAAACACACUUGUGCACAUUCCUUCCUUUCAUGCUGUGUACAUCUCUACUUGGCAUUGCAAGCUGUUGUAAGAUGACUCAGCUUGUUACUGAUUAACAUCUCACUUUAUGUCUUCUCUGUGUGCCUCAAUCCAACUCUUCUCACAUCCAUCAGGCAUCCUGACACCAUGCAUUUCUUUCCAUUUUGCCCUCAGGUGUGCCAGACAAACAGGAACUCAACAGCCCAGAGUUCACUAUGUACCACCAAUUUUCUUCUCCCCUCUCCAGAGCACAGAGCCCCUCCUUCAAGCUACACAGUGCUGCAGCACAAGCCUUCCACAUCCCCAAAGGCACUGCAGGCAGCAGAGCAGGGCUUGCCACCCCAGAUUUCCAUGCCUUCCUUUCCCUCCACAUGGAGUCACGAAGAGGUGUCAGGUCAGACGUCUCCAGAUACCUGAGAUACACUGGCAGCUGAGCCACCAUGCAAUGCAUCAUCACUUUGUUUCUGGAGGGCCUGGCCUUCCUGCCCAGAGAGGAACACAUUCCCUAGCUGAAGACCACCUCCAUCUGUGCCUGCAGCUCAUGCUUCUCCCACCAGCACUGGCACCUGCACAGACACGUACACACCUGUCCCAAGAACAGACCCCACCUGUGUUACAGGGAACAAAGGAAUCCCAGGCACGGGACCUCACCCCUUCUCUCCCACAGCAUGGCAUUUCCAAUAAAAUAUGUGCAAACACACAGACACAAGCUGUGAACAAGUCCUGCCCAGGGGCUCUUAGCUCACUGCAUUCUGUGUGGCACAAUGAGCACCUGUAAACCCUG
rnacentral:lncRNA from 1 species